CUUUCUGAGCUAUCACUGCGGAGUAGUUGGGAGCCUUUCUGUUUGCUUUUGCUUUUGUCUCUCCCUAUAGCCCAAGCUGACCUCAAACUCAGGAACUUCCUGGCUUGGUCUCCUGAAUACUGGCAUUCCUGGCAAGUCUCCCCACUCCCACAAAGUUCCUUUCUACUCUCACCUGUAAUUAGGAAGGGAAGCCUUCACUGUUAGUUUGUAUCACUGUGAUCAAAUAUUUGUCAGGAAAGAGGAGAAAGAUUUAUUUUGGUUCUCUCCAUUUGAAAGGGUUCACUCCAUGGUUUCUUGGCCUAUGUUCUCGUGGAAGGGGAGAUUGUUCCCAUCGAGGUGAAGGACAUGGAAUAGCAAAAGAAGGGAGCAGAAAGCAGACAUAGCCUUCAAAGACCUGCUCCCUUCAGAGGUUUCUGUGACUUGCUUCCUCCAGGGAUGCCCGAUCUCCCAAAGUGUCUGCAUCUUCCCUGGCUUAGUUAGGCUGAUUAUUGCUGUGACGAAUGCCAUGACCAAAGCAGGCUGGGAGGAAAGGUGUUUGGUUUUGGCUCACACUUCCACAUUGUAGUGCACCAUUGAAGGAAGUCAGGACAGGAACUCAAACAGGUGUGUCCUGGAGGCAGGAGCUGAUGCAGGGGCCAUGCAGGAGUGCUGCCUACUGACUUGAUUCUCAUGGCUUGCUCAGCCUGCUCAGCCCGCUCGGCCCAGGGAUGACACCACCCACAAGGGCUGGGCCCUCCACCAUUGAUCGCUAAUGAAGAAAAUGCCUUAUAGGUUUGCCUACAGCCUAGUCUUAAAGAGGCAUUUUCUCAGUUGAGGGUCUCUCCUUUCAGAUGGCUUUAGCUUGUGUCAAACUGACAUAAAACUAUCUAGCACACUCCCUAAAUGACAGCAUGAACUGGGGCUCAAGCAUCCAACGCAUGCCUCAUUUACAGGUUUCUUACUUUUUUUCCUGUGAUCUUUGCUUUAAGGUACCUUUUAGGUCUGUUUACUUUCAUGUUGCAGUGAAUUGUUUUGUGGUUGGUUGGUUAUUUAUUUAUUUAUUUAUUUAUUUAUUUAUUUAUUUAUUGUGAGUACACUAUAGCUGUCUUCAGACACACCAGAAGAGGGCAUUGGAUCCCAUUACAGAUGGUUUUGAGCCACCAUGUGGUUGCUGGGAAUUGAACUCAGGACCUCUGGAAGAGCAGUCGGUGCUCUUAACCGCUGAGCCACCUCUCCAGCCCAAUGGUUACUUCUUAUGAAAAGUAAAAUUAGGGGCUAGAGAGGUGGCUCAGUGUGCUCACUGUGCAGGCACAAAGACUUGAGUGUGGAACCCCUGGCAUCCAUGUAAAAGACAGGUGCAGUGGUGUGUUUCUAACUGUGGCACCAGUAGCAGAAAAAGGUAGAUUGUGGAACUUUCUGGCCAGCCAGUCUCACUCAGAGCAAGGUCUAGAUUUAAUAAGGGACCCUGUCUCAAAGAUGAGCAGUAGAGGAAGACCCCUGGUUUCGACAUCUGGCAUCCAUAUGUGCAUGUAUAGGUGAAUACACACACAGAUGAAUUUUCCUUUUUCUGAAUUAAAUUAAAAAAGUAAAAUCAGUAUUAUACUGAAAAUUCGAAACUAAUAAAAACAAACAAACAAAAAAAAAACAAAAAACUGGGGGUUGGGGAUUUGGCUCAGUGGUAGAGCCUUGCCUAGCUUGCCUAGCAAGCGCAAUGCCCUGGGUUCGAUCCCCAGCUCCGAAAAAAAAAAAAAAAAAAAAAACAAACAAAAAAAAAAAAACAAAAAUUGGGCUGGAGAGAUGGCUCAGCAGUUAAGAGGACUGGCUGCUCUUCCAGAGGUCCUGAGUUCAAUUCCCAGCACCCACAUGAUGUUCACAAACCAUCUCUCUUCUGGUGUGUCAUCAACAGUGUACUCAUACAUUUAAGGGGAGGGGGUGGAUUUAAAAUAACCCUAUUUGUCUCUGGGUUCUUUUUUCUUGAGUUUAUAUACUCAAGAAAUAUACUUGGGUUUAUUUAAGAUUCUAGAGUAUUCUAGAGGAUGCUUUAUUUAAGAUUCUAGAGGAAGUGGGUGCUUCGUGAUCUGGCUCCCAUGUCAGAGACAUCUGGUUGGCUUGUUUAAGAGCACAUACAUAGAAAGCUUUCGGACUGUACCAACCAACCACUGAUUUAGUAAAUGUCUAUUGAGUGCUUACUGUGGGCCUGAUCCUGUGGAGGGUAGGAGUGAGCAGGACUAAGUCUUUGCACUCAGGGAUAUAAAGACAAAAGGAAGUAUAAAGACUGAUGUAUUCUGCCAAGUAAGUCCUCCUUCAUUAGCAGAGACAGCCAUUUGAGGGAGUGAGCCAUGUUCUGACAAGGAGUAUGCCUGGUAAGAGAUAUGCAUGUUUCUAAGAGAAUGUCACACCAUAGGAUUUAUGGAUGAUUUAGAUGAAGGAAUAAAGAUUUUGGUGUCAUUCCUCAAGCACUCUCCACAUUUUGUCCCUUUUUCUUACUUUGCUGUUUUUUAGACAGGGUGUUGAGUUCUAGGUGUCCUGGAACUCAUCAAGCAAGCUAGGCUAGGUGGCCUGUAAGUCUGCCUUCCAGCCUUGCUGAUGCUAGGAUUACAAGUGCAUACCGUGCCAUGAUGCCUGGUCUGGACCUCAAUUUGUAGACGAGGCUGGCCUUGAAUUCAUGUAGAUCACCUCUGCCUCCUGAGUGUUGAGACUAAAGGUGAGCAUGACCCAUCCAGCCUUCUUUCUUUCUUUUUCUUUUUAAUGUAUGCUGUGGGGCUCAUACUCAGGUCUUUCUUGCUUGUAAGGAAGACACUUUACUGAUUGUGUUCAUCCUCAGCGUUUGUUUCUGUUUUCCUCUGAAUCCUUCCCACUGGCCAUUCAAGAGUGUAUGAUUCAGUCCCUAAGUAUUUGUAGUUAGAUUGAUUUCUAGUUUUAUUCACCUUGAUCUAUGAGUUCCGAGAAAUAAUUCCAAUUCUUCUGUAUUUGCUAAGACUUGCUUUUCAGCCUAGAGUGUAUAUGAUCUGUUUGGGAGGAAGCUCAAGGGCUGCUGAGAAGAAUAAGUUGUAUUCUGUUUUUAUUUAGUAGAAUACUCUGUAGCUCGACGUUAGAUCCAUCUGGUCUGUGGUGUGGCUUAGCUCUGGGGUUUCCUCGUUCUGUUCUACUUUAUGACUGAUCCAGAGAUGAGAUGGAGUUAUUGAAGUAACCCUGUUUUAUCGGACCUAUCAGACCUUUAUGCCCCAUUAGUGAUUGCUUUAUGAACUUGGGAACCCUUGCAUUUGGCACCUGGAUGUUUAUUACUUUUUAUGUCUUGUUUCCUUGAUUAUUACAUAGUAGUCUUCCUCCUGUGUUCUUGGUUUAAAGUAUUCUUCAGAUAACAGAAGAGUUACCCUGCUUAUUCUGGGCUUGCAUUUGUUGAUAGACUGACUUCCAUCAACUAAUUUUCAGUCUGUGCCAGUGCAUUGUUUCCUGGAGAUGGUAGGAGGUUGAAUCUGUUAGUUUUCAUUAGUUAAAAUUAUGUAUAUGUGCUUCUUCGUGAGUGUUGCCCGAGGAGACCAGGGGUGUUGGGUCUCUGCAGCCAGUUACAGGUGAUUGUGAGUCAUCCAGCAUGGGCUACGGGAACCAAAUGUGGGUCCUUUGGAAGAGCAGUACUUGCUUUUAAUUUUGAAGCCAUCUCUUCAGCCCCUGGAGUUGGUUUUUAAAUAUAUUCAGCUUGUUGGCACAUUUUAUUUUUAUUUUAUUUUUUGGUAAGUUGAAUGAGAGUAGUUUUAUUGGUUGUUUUUCUGGUUGGGUGGAUGACUGUUUGCUGUCAGCAUUAGGACUCUGCUAGUUUAGUGUGUUGGAUAUGAUGAAUUCCUCCCUAGUUCUUUGUCAUGUGUUGCUAUCAGGAAAUUUACUCUUUUUAUGUAGUUAUGAUUUUGACUUCAUGUUGACUAUGGUCAUAAAUUGCUUUAGUUUGUUCUUGUCUUGAAGUAUCCUUAAUUCUCUGUCAAUUCUACAAGAUAGCUUUGCUGUUUAUAGCAAUUUAGGUUAGUAAUUAUUUACUGUCAGGAUUUGAAGUUUAUUAUUCCAUGCUUUCCUGCAGAUUAGGGUUGCUGAUGUUAUUUUCAUUGCUGGUCUUUAUGUGUGAACUGGCCUUUUCCUCUCAGAUCUUUGAAUAAUGUUUUAUUCUGUGUCUGUAUAAAUUUUUGAGACACGGUCUUACUGUAGCCUGGCCUAUAACAAACUGUGUGGGUGGACCUGCUUUAACCUCUCAAAAGUUAAGAUUAUGUGUCUGAGCCAUUAUACUUAGCUGAGGUUUUUGUUGUUGUUUCUGUUCUUGUUGGUUAUUGUUAUGUGGAUUUUGUGUGGGGAUGUGUUGUAUGUUCAUGCUCAUGUAGGUGUGUAUGUAUAUACAUGCAUGUUCAGGCCAGAGGUUGAUCCUGGGUAUCUUUCACAGUUCCUCUCCACUUUAUUCUUUGAUUCACUGAACCUAGAGCUUACUGACUGAGCCUACUGCCCAGUGAGCUUCAGGGUUAGCUUGUGUUUCCUCACCUUUUUUCUUAGUGUGGGGUUCAGCUGUGUGCUGCUGUGCUCAGCUUCCAGAUACGUGCUGCUGUGCCUAGCUUUUCUUGUUUGUUUUUGAGACAGGGUCUCUAUGUAGUCUUUGCUGUCCUCGAGCUUGCUAUGGAGACAGGCCGGCCUCAAAUUCACAGAAAUCUUCCUGCCUCUAUUUGGAUUUAAAGUUGGGGUCACUGUACCCAAUCCAGCUUUUAAGUAGGUGCUAGAGAUCCGAAUUCUUGUCCUCAUACUUGUACAAAAAGCACUUUACCCAUUGAGCCAUCUUCCUAGCUUCUGUUUUGCAUUUCUGACAUCUUGAUUAUAAUUAUCAUAGAAAAGUUCUUCCUCAGUGGUGUCUAUUUAGAGUUCUAAAUGCCUUGUAUGUUUGUUUUCUCAUUUUAAAAAUAGGAGUGUUAAUGCCUCUCUUGUGAAGAUUAUUAAGCAUUAAAUUCAUGGCAAAUAGGAUGAAAUCAUUAAGUGAGAGCUAAUUGAGAAUAGAAGUGCCUGUUAUCUGGGCGUGGUGGUGCACAUUUGUACCCAGUGCUUGGAGCCCCAGGCAGGUGGAUCUCUAAGAGUUCAGUGCCAGCCUGACUUAGGAACCAGGAUUUUGGCCAGCCAGGGCUACAUACAGAGACUGUUUCAAAGAAGAAAAGGUACCUAUCAUUUAGAGCCAUGCAUGAGGAUUACAGUUCACAUUAUAUUUCUUUUUUUUUUUUUUUUUUUUUUUUUGUUCGUUCUUUUUUUCGGAGCUGGGGACUGACCCCCAGGGCCUUGCGCUUCCUAGGUAAGCACUCUACCACUGAGCUAAAUCCCCAACCCCUCACAUUAUAUUUCUAAGCCAAACAGGAAAUUUGUCCCUGAAGUUCAUCUUUGUUACAGACAGAUCUUUACAUUGUAGCUACAAUGUUGUGACAGUAUGGGAACACAGCUUGGCCUUUUAGUCGAUUACUACUGUAGCUGGUCUUUGCUACUUUGUGGCUUCUUCUUGUUUCGGUCCUUAUUCCCUACCUUCCAUUUUCACCCCUAUCACUAGAUAGGAGAGAAAGGAUAAAGAGGAGAGAGAAAAAAAUCCUGAAUCUCUUUUCUUUCUUUUUAUUUCUUCUUUAAGCACGAAUACUAACAAACUGUAUCUAACUCCUCUGAAUGACCAACAAAUGCCACCCCAUCACUUAGGGCUGUAGCAAUAUAUCCUCUGAAAAAUGACCAGAGUUCCAAAGGUCACACAACCACAGAAAUUAUCUCCAGUUGGCAAAGCCACACCUCUGCUAGAGCUCAGGGCAAAUCAUAGUCAUCUGCUGUGAACAGUCCAAAGCGGUUCCAUGUCCCCAUACUUGGAAUUAAAACGAAAACACAUUCUUACAUUUCUGUGUUGUUGUUGUUUUAUUUUUAAGAAAUCAAAAUUCCAAAAUUGUCACUGCAUAUAACAGUUUAUAUAAACAAUCUAUAGGGCUCAUACUUGAAAAAUAAUCCUCUCUAGUCUUAGAAAUUCUGCCUUUUUAUUUUGAUUUUGACCCAGGUGCUAUUAUACAGCUUUGGUGGUAUUGACAUAAUCAAUCAUCUCUCAGCUUAAUAUAGAAAAAUCAGUCAAUAUUUCAGUUUUAUGAAUUCUAUUCUUCCAUAUAUCCUAAUUAAAGCCUUUUUGUUGUUGUUAAAAAUGGGGUCUCACUAUGUCACCCUGGCUGGCCAGGAACUUGCUGUGUAAAACAGGCUGGCCUCAAACUGGUCUGGUCCUUGCCAGGACAGUUUCUGGGCUUGCUAACACAUGGUCAGUGCUUAAUUCUACCUUCCAGACUUUGGCAGUUUCAUGGCCCUCUGGUGUUUGUUUUUGGGUUUGUCUGUCUGGUUUUGUACCAGAUACCCAGAAUAUAUAAAACCUUUAUCCUAAUUCCACCCUCCUUUGACCUUCCUUUUCACCUUUCUUGGAGCUCAGGCUAGUAAAUAUUAUUAGUUUUUGAGUAUAGGUUUUGUUAAUGUGAUUGUUUUAUACCAGAUCUUCUGUCUGCCUCCUUACUGCUGAGAAUACAGACACCUGCCUGUACCAAACCUUUGCCUUUUUGCUUGAAAGGCAAACACAUUACCAACCAAGCUUUUUUUUCUUUACUUAGUAUUUUUAGGGUGGACAGAUAGAGUUAUCAGUUUGUCUGUGGUGGUUUUGAGGCAGGGUUCUAAUAUGUAGCUCAGGCUGCCCUCAAACUUGAGAGUCUACUUUAGCCUUCUGAGUGUCCAUAUUAUAGGUAUAAGUACUGUUCCUAUCUUGUAUAAUGUCCUUUUAGCUUUAUUUGUUUUUAUGUGUGUAACUGUUUUGCUUAAAUGAGUAUGUGUUCCACAUUCUGUGGCCAGAAGAGGACAUUGGAUCCCCUGAGACUGGAGUUACGUAGGCGCUGCCAUUUGUUACUAGAAAUUGCACCCAGCUAGUCUAGUGGAAUAGCCAGUACUCUAACCAUUGAGCCAUCUUUCUAUCCCACUUAUACAAUAUUUUACUGUGCCUGUGUUUUGACUAUGGUGAUAUCACAUUGGCAGUUAAGUUUCAGAUUUUCUUUUCAUAUUUUUAGAUUAGGAAUAUUCAACAUAUGUAAACAUUGAUUAUUGUCAUUGUUCUAGCUACUUUUACUGUAAUUUUGUUUUACUUAACAGAAGCAGCUGGGAUGGUUUUAGCAAGAACUUGCCUUUUUUCCAGGAAGUUUGGGUUUUUUGAUGCAUGAUACUUCCAGCAAUCAGGGAUGGCCUGGAGGAAGGCCAUAGCUAUUUCUGCUGAGCUUGAGGCAGUGCUUGUGGACACUUUGUUCUAACAGUGCUGAUUUACUAGCCAACGUGCCUAUUGCCAUGAUGCAGGCCUUGGCUGUUGGCCACUGUCUUCACUGUGACUGAUCCAUUUACAGCCUGCAGGAAUCAAGUGCCAUCCUGCACAGGCCCCUUGCAUCCCAAACUGAUGGAGGACGGAUGUUCCAGAGUCUGGCAUGCUGUUCUCAUCAGACAGCUGGGUUAUACACAUGUGGCAGGGCUAAGAAUACUUCAUUCCUUAGCCCUUGUGCCAAACCCAUCUUUCAGUCUUUCACAGGGUUUGUGUUUUAUGUAAAUUAUUUCAUGGGCAGAUGCCAGGAUUGUGGAAUAAGAAUAGCCUUCUCGGGCUGGAGGGAUGGCUUAGCAGUUAAGAGCACUUGUUGCUUUUCCCAAGGACCCAAGCUCAGUUCCCAGCACCCGUAGUGGGCAGCUCGCAACUGCCUGUAACUCCAGCUCCAGGGGUCUAGUACCAUAUCCUGGAUCCCAUAGGUUCCCACACAUUCUGAGCAUACAGAGACAGGUGCACACAAACACACGAAAUACACGAUGAAAAAAUGAAGAACAAAGCAACCCUCUCCUUAAAAUGCACAGAGACAGCAUGGACCAGUGGGAUGGCUUAGUAGGUAAAAUUGAACCUUCACACCCAAGAUUAAUCUAAGUUUAAUCCCCAGCA